AGAAACUAACCAGGAUUUCCCUAGUAACGGCGAGCGAACCGGAAAGAGCCCAGCUUGAAAAUCNNGGCGCCCCGGCGCCUCGAAUUGUAUUCUGGAGAAGGUCCCUCUGCGGCGCGCCGGACCCAAGUUCCCUGGAAAGGGACGCCAUCRAGGGUGAGAGCCCCGCUGAUUCCGGAGUGCGCUGCUCCACAAGGACCUGUCUGCGAGUCGGGCUGUUUGGGAAUGCAGCCCUAAGCGGGUGGUAAAUUCCAUCCAAGGCUAAAUAUUGSCAAGAGACCGAUAGCGAACAAGUCCCGCGAGGGAAAGAUGAAAAGGACUUUGAAAAGAGAGUUAAAAAGUGCUUGAAAUUGCUGGGAGGGAAGCGAAUGGAAGCUGCGGGUGCGCCCCGGCUGGAUGCGGAACGGCCGUCAAACGCUGGUCCGCCGCUCAGCGCGGGGCGCUGGUCAGCGUGGGCCAUCGCGGCGGGACAAGAGCGGGGAUUCGCUUCCCGCCGAUGCCGCUGCGGUGGCCGAGGAACGAAGCGCGCGCUCAUUCGUGGGCGUGGGAUCCGUCCCAACUGCGCGCUCGGGACGCUGGCGUAUUGAGCUCUUCAUCCGACCCGUCUUGAAACACGGACCAAGGAGUCUAACAUGUAUGCGAGCCGGUGGGCGGCAAACCCAUUGAGGCGCAAGUAACCUGACAGGUGGGACCCCGACCGCAAGSAAGGGAGCACCAUCGACCGACCGUGAUCUUCUGUGAAAGGUUUGAGUGUGAGCAUACCUGUUGGGACCCGAAAGAUGGUGAACUAUGCCUGAGCAGGGCGAAGCCAGAGGAAACUCUGGUGGAGGCUCGUAGCGAUACUGACGUGCAAAUCGUUCGUCAGACUUGGGUAUAGGGGCGAAAGACUAAUCGAACCAUCUAGUAGCUGGUUCCCUCCGAAGUUUCCCUCAGGAUAGCUGGAGCUCAGCGUAAGAGUUUUAUCAGGUAAAGCGAAUGAUUAGAGGCAUCGGGGGUGUAACACCCUCGACCUAUUCUCAAACUUUAAAUAGGUAAGCCGCCGGGGUUGCUUGGUUGAACCCCGGCACAGAAUGAGAG
rnacentral:rRNA from 1 species